rnacentral:rRNA from 1 species
GCAGCAGCCACGGGAAUACGAAGGGUGCAAGCGUUAAUCGGAAUUACUGGGCGUAAAGCGUGCGUAGGCGGUGAGUUAAGUCUGCUGUGAAAUCCCCGGGCUCAACCUGGGAAUGGCAGUGGAUACUGGCUCGCUAGAGUGUGUCAGAGGAUGGUGGAAUUCCCGGUGUAGCGGUGAAAUGCGUAGAGAUCGGGAGGAACAUCAGUGGCGAAGGCGGCCAUCUGGGACAACACUGACGCUGAGGCACGAAAGCGUGGGGAGCAAACAGGAUUAGAUACCCGCGUAGUCCCUGUCUCUUAUAC